rnacentral:misc_RNA from 1 species
GAUGAAGAACGUAGUGAAAUGCGAUAAGUAAUGUGAAUUGCAGAAUUCAGUGAAUCAUCGAAUCUUUGAACGCACAUUGCGCCCCUUGGUAUUCCGGGGGGCAUGCCUGUUCGAGCGUCAUUUCAACCCUCAAGCUCAGCUUGGUAUUGAGUCCAUGUCAGUAAUGGCAGGCUCUAAAAUCAGUGGCGGCGCCGCUGGGUCCUGAACGUAGUAAUAUCUCUCGUUACAGGUUCUCGGUGUGCUUCUGCCAAAACCCAAAUUUUCUAUGGUUGACCUCGGAUCAGGUAGGGAUACCCGCUGAACUUAAGCAUACAAUAAGCGGAGGA